CGGGUGCAGAACACGCGAAACAGACGGCAAGCGACUCUUCCGGAUUCCAUCAGCGAAGCGAGACGCGGCGCAGAGGAAGGUCUGGCUUCAAAAAAUCAGCCGGGCUGAUUUUAACCCAACACAAUGGUCCCGGCUGUGUGAGAACUGGGACGAGGCACUGCCAAA
rnacentral:lncRNA from 1 species